AUACGGAGGGUGCAAGCGUUACUCGGAAUCACUGGGCGUAAAGCGUGCGCAGGCGGCUUGAUAAGUUGGAUGUGAAAGCCUACGGCUCAACCGUAGAACUGCAUCCAAAACUGUCAGGCUAGAGUGUGGGAGAGGAAGAUGGAAUUAGUUGUGUAGGGGUAAAAUCCGUAGAGAUAACUAGGAAUACCAAAAGCGAAGGCGAUCUUCUGGAACAGUACUGACGCUGAGGCGCGAAAGCGUGGGGAGCAAACAGGAUUAGAAACCCCAGUAGUCC
rnacentral:rRNA from 1 species